rnacentral:rRNA from 1 species
AUUGAACGCUGGCGGCAGGCCUAACACAUGCAAGUCGAGCGGUAGAGAGGAGCUUGCUUCUCUUGAGAGCGGCGGACGGGUGAGUAAUGCCUAGGAAUCUGCCUGGUAGUGGGGGAUAACGUUCGGAAACGGACGCUAAUACCGCAUACGUCCUACGGGAGAAAGUGGGGGAUCUUCGGACCUCACGCUAUCAGAUGAGCCUAGGUCGGAUUAGCUAGCUGGUGAGGUAAAGGCUCACCAAGGCGACGAUCCGUAACUGGUCUGAGAGGAUGAUCAGUCACACUGGAACUGAGACACGGUCCAGACUCCUACGGGAGGCAGCAGUGGGGAAUAUUGGACAAUGGGCGCAAGCCUGAUCCAGCCAUGCCGCGUGUGUGAAGAAGGUCUUCGGAUUGUAAAGCACUUUAAGUUGGGAGGAAGGUCAGUAGCUUAAUACGUUGCUGAUUUGACGUUACCGACAGAAUAAGCACCGGCUAACUCUGUGCCAGCAGCCGCGGUAAUAC